AGAGUUUGAUCCUGGCUCAGGACGAACGCUGGCGGCGUGCUUAACACAUGCAAGUCGAACGGAAAGGCCCUUCGGGGUACUCGAGUGGCGAACGGGUGAGUAACACGUGGGUGAUCUGCCCUGCACUUUGGGAUAAGCCUGGGAAACUGGGUCUAAUACCGAAUAGGACCACGCGCUUCAUGGUGUGUGGUGGAAAGCUUUUGCGGUGUGGGAUGGGCCCGCGGCCUAUCAGCUUGUUGGUGGGGUAAUGGCCUACCAAGGCGACGACGGGUAGCCGGCCUGAGAGGGUGACCGGCCACACUGGGACUGAGAUACGGCCCAGACUCCUACGGGAGGCAGCAGUGGGGAAUAUUGCACAAUGGGCGCAAGCCUGAUGCAGCGACGCCGCGUGAGGGAUGACGGCCUUCGGGUUGUAAACCUCUUGCAAUAGGGACGAAGCGCAAGUGACGGUACCUAUAGAAGAAGCACCGGCCAACUACGUGCCAGCAGCCGCGGUAAUACGUAGGGUGCGAGCGUUGUCCGGAAUUACUGGGCGUAAAGAGCUCGUAGGUGGUUUGUCGCGUUGUUCGUGAAAACUCACAGCUUAACUGUGGGCGUGCGGGCGAUACGGGCAGACUAGAGUACUGCAGGGGAGACUGGAAUUCCUGGUGUAGCGGUGGAAUGCGCAGAUAUCAGGAGGAACACCGGUGGCGAAGGCGGGUCUCUGGGCAGUAACUGACGCUGAGGAGCGAAAGCGUGGGGAGCGAACAGGAUUAGAUACCCUGGUAGUCC
rnacentral:rRNA from 1 species